CAGCUGAGAAGUUUAAUUUACAAAACCAGUUUUUUGCAAUGCUGACAAAGACAUGGCCAGUACCUGGAAUAGAGUGCACUUCACCCGCUCUCUGCCUGGUCUGCUGAGGCCUGCCCUUCCUGGUUGUGAUCCUACAGUGACUCCACAAAGACGAGCAGAUUUGUACACAAGGUACGUUUUAGCAUUCAAAGUGCUGAGGAAAGUAUGAAAGUAUCCCUUGUGUCUCCAAGAAAACAAGAGAAGUUUGAAGUUCUGGGAGUUUUAAAACAUCUUUGAGCAGGUGUCCAUGUUGAAUAUUCAAUUCUAUUGCAAAUGUGUUUGAAUGAUAUUUCAGUCAUUUACAUUAACAUGUGUGGUAUUCACAUGCCCUCUGAACAGAGAGAAGCUGUGAGACAAGCAGAGAAGAAGGAAAACACAAUUCUUAUCUCGCUUGCUGUGCCUGUGUGGUGCUAAAGUAGAAUGCAAUAUGGAGAUUGUUUACCCAAAGUGAAGAUGUUUUGUUCCCUUGGCCUAUCAGGGCCAAGAAGUGUGUGUGUGUGGGACUGUCAUGGGACAGUCAAGAGAGAAUCAGAGAUGAGUGCAGUUCUGUGCAGUUGUGAGCAAGGGUGGGUGCUUGGCAGAUUCAGUUUAGAUACAAUGCACAUAGUAUAGCAUAAUAAAGUAAUUAAUUAGCCUUCUGAUGAUGGAGUCAGAUGCAUCAUUCUCUCUCCUCUUCGUCGGAGUCGCCGUUGAUUUACAAUAAACAUGAUAUUUCACUCAUUUACAUUAACUACAGUAUUUCCCCCCAGAUCACACUACAAAUGAAAUGUCUGGGGUGCCUUUUCAGGGAUUAAAUGUUCCCCUGCAGACAGGGCCUCAUUCCAGGCUUGCUGGGCUCAAUGGGCAGGAUUCCACUGGAGCUCAGUGGGUUCUUUAUAGAAUUAGGUGGUUUAUAGUUCAUAUUUGAUCUCAUUA